rnacentral:rRNA from 1 species
CAAUAGCGUAUAUUAAAGUUGUUGCGGUUAAAAAGCUCGUAGUUGGAUUUCUGCUGAGAACGACCGGUCCGCCCUUUGGGUGUGUAUCUGGCUCUUUCUUGGCAUCUUCUUGGUGAACGUUGCUGCACUUGACUGUGUGGAGCGCUACCCAGGACUUUUACUUUGAGGAAAUUAGAGUGUUUCAAGCAGGCAUACGCCUUGAAUACAUUAGCAUGGAAUAAUAAGAUAGGACCUCGGUUCUAUUUUGUUGGUUUCUAGAGCUGAGGUAAUGAUUAAUAGGGAUAGUUGGGGGCAUUCGUAUUUAACUGUCAGAGGUGAUAUUCUUGGAUUUGUUAAAGACGGACUACUGCGAAAGCAUUUGCCAAGGAUGUUUNCAUUGA